rnacentral:lncRNA from 1 species
UCAGAUGUCCACACCUGUCACUCCCAAGCCCCCAUUUCGCGUCCACCCCGCAGAGUUCCCUUUAGCGGGAUUUGCUGAGCCAGCUUCUCAUGAACCGGGAGAGACUCAUGCCUUCGGCUUCUUGUCAUCUUUGUCUUCUGUAGCACAGCUGACCCCCUCAGUGACAGGCUAAGGAGGGGCAGCUGGAGUUUGCUCUGGGAGAAACCAUCUCCCUCUCAGUGCAUCCGGGUCCUCGCCAGCUUGGGUGGUGGCGGAAUCUUCUGGAUUUGCCAGGACCAGGACCGGAAGACCCACAGCUCCUGCCUCCAGAGCCUGCUUCCCACGGGACCGCUGGAAAGCCACCAUGCUGUCACCGGAGGGCAGCACCCUCAGAAUCACCCCUCCACCCCAGCUGCCAGCCAGGCCCUGGGGGCCAGCUGUGCCUCUGACUGUUCAUCUGCUCCCGUGAAGUUCAUGACCCCUUGGCUACCCUGCCGGAGAACACAGAGGGAAGCCCACACACAGAGGCUACCUAGACUGGUAAUGGUUACAGCCUGACUCCCCAUUGGGUGAAGCUGGGAAUAAACUGGGGAUGUGGCUGCUCCCUCA